UACGGAGGGGGCUAGCGUUGUUCGGAAUUACUGGGCGUAAAGCGCGCGUAGGCGGCUUUGUAAGUUAGAGGUGAAAGCCCGAAGCUCAACUUCGGAAUUGCCUUUAAGACUGCAUCGCUUGAAUCAUGGAGAGGUCAGUGGAAUUCCGAGUGUAGAGGUGAAAUUCGUAGAUAUUCGGAAGAACACCAGUGGCGAAGGCGACUGACUGGACAUGUAUUGACGCUGAGGUGCGAAAGCGUGGGGAGCGAACGAGG
rnacentral:rRNA from 1 species